ACGGAAGGCAGCAGUGGGGAAUAUUGGGCAAUGGGCGAAAGCCUGACCCAGCAACGCCGCGUGAAGGAUGAAGGUCUUCGGAUUGUAAACUUCUUUGAUUGGGGAAGAAUAAAUGACCUAUCCAAAGAACAAGCCACGGCUAACUACGUGCCAGCAGCCGCGGUAAUACGUAGGUGACAAGCGUUAUCCGGAUUUACAGGGUGUAAAGGGCGUGUAGGCGGUUUAGCAAGUCAGAAGUGAAAUUCCCGGGCUUAACUUGGGCGCUGCUUCUGAAACUGCUUUACUUGAGUACUGGAGAGGAUAGUGGAAUUCCUAGUGUAGCGAUAAAAUGCGCAGAUAUUAGGAGGAACACCGGUGGCGAAGGCGGCUAUCUGGACAGUAACUGACGCUGAGGCGCAAAAGCACGGGGAGCAAACAGGAUUAGAUACCCUGGUA
rnacentral:rRNA from 1 species